CCUGCAUCGAGUGGCGGCUGGCGGGGAGACUACCCACUUCACGAUCAGAUUAUUUUGAGUUGGAAGUUCAACAAAAAGGGAAGACUCAAGUUCCGAAGUGAUUGUUCUACUAUUUGAG